rnacentral:rRNA from 1 species
UACGUAGGGACCGAGCGUUGUCCGGAAUCAUUGGGCGUAAAGAGCGUGUAGGCGGCUUGUUAAGUCUUGCGUGAAAUCUCGGGGCUCAACCCCGCGCGGUCGUGAGAAACUGGCAGGCUAGAGUGCGGGAGAGGAGAGUGGAAUUCCUGGUGUAGCGGUGAAAUGCGCAGAUAUCAGGAAGAACACCCGUGGCGAAGGCGGCUCUCUGGAACGCAACUGACGCUGAGACGCGAAAGCGUGGGGAGCAAACAGG